rnacentral:rRNA from 1 species
UACGGGGGGGGCGAGCGUUGUUCGGAAUCACUGGGCGUAAAGGGCGCGUAGGCGGCCCGCACAAGUCUGCGGUGAAAACCCCCGGCUUAACCGGGGGCCGGCCGUGGAAACUGUCGGGCUGGAGGCUGGGAGAGGGCAGCGGAAUUCCCGGUGUAGCGGUGAAAUGCGUAGAGAUCGGGAGGAACACCAGUGGCGAAGGCGACUACCUGGCCUGUUCUUGACGCUGAGGCGCGAAAGCUAGGGGAGCAAACGGG